rnacentral:rRNA from 1 species
UACGUAGGGUGCAAGCGUUAAUCGGAAUUACUGGGCGUAAAGCGUGCGCAGGCGGUUGUGCAAGACAGAUGUGAAAUCCCCGGGCUCAACCUGGGAACUGCAUUUGUGACUGCAUCGCUGGAGUACGGCAGAGGGGGGAUGGAAUUCCGCGUGUAGCAGUGAAAUGCGUAGAUAUGCGGAGGAACACCGAUGGCGAAGGCAAUCCCCUGGGCCUGCACUGACGCUCAUGCACGAAAGCGUGGGGAGCAAACAGG